rnacentral:misc_RNA from 1 species
UUUCCGUAGGUGAACCUGCGGAAGGAUCAUUAUCUAUUCCAUGAGGUGCGGUCGCGGCCCUCGGCGGGAGCAACAGCUACCGUCGGGCGGUAGAGGUAACACUUUCACGCGCCGCAUGUCUGAAUCCUUUUUUUACGAGCACCUUUCGUUCUCCUUCGGCGGGGCAACCUGCCGUUGGAACCUAUCAAAACCUUUUUUUGCAUCUAGCAUUACCUGUUCUGAUACAAACAAUCGUUACAACUUUCAACAAUGGAUCUCUUGGCUCUGGCAUCGAUGAAGAACGCAGCGAAAUGCGAUAAGUAGUGUGAAUUGCAGAAUUCAGUGAAUCAUCGAAUCUUUGAACGCACAUUGCGCCCCUUGGUAUUCCAUGGGGCAUGCCUGUUCGAGCGUCAUCUACACCCUCAAGCUCUGCUUGGUGUUGGGCGUCUGUCCCGCCUCUGCGCGCGGACUCGCCCCAAAUUCAUUGGCAGCGGUCCUUGCCUCCUCUCGCGCAGCACAUUGCGCUUCUCGAGGUGCGCGGCCCGCGUCCACGAAGCAACAUUACCGUCUUUGACCUCGGAUCAGGUAGGGAUACCCGCUGAACUUAAGCAUAUCAAUAA